UACGGAGGGUGCGAGCGUUAUCCGGAAUUACUGGGUUUAAAGGGUGCGUAGGCGGCCAGGUAAGUCAGGAGUGAAAGUUUGCGGCUCAACCGUAAAAUUGCUUUUGAUACUGCCAGGCUAGAAUUAGGAUGAGGUCAGCGGAAUGUGGCAUGUAGCGGUGAAAUGCAUAGAUAUGCCAUAGAACACCAAUUGCGAAGGCAGCUGGCUAGACCUGGAUUGACGCUGAGGCACGAAAGCGUGGGGAGCAAAACGG
rnacentral:rRNA from 1 species